rnacentral:rRNA from 1 species
GAUGAACGCUGGCGGCGUGCCUAAUACAUGCAAGUCGAGCGAACGGACGAGAAGCUUGCUUCUCUGAUGUUAGCGGCGGACGGGUGAGUAACACGUGGAUAACCUACUUAUAAGACUGGGAUAACUUCGGGAAACCGGAGCUAAUACCGGAUAAUAUUUUGAACCGCAUGGUUCAAAAGUGAAAGACGGUCUUGCUGUCACUUAUAGAUGGAUCCGCGCUGCAUUAGCUAGUUGGUAAGGUAACGGCUUACCAAGGCAACGAUGCAUAGCCGACCUGAGAGGGUGGUCGGCCACACUGGAACUGAGACACGGUCCAGACUCCUACGGGAGGCAGGAGUAGGGAAUCUUCCGCAAUGGGCGAAAGCCUGACGGAGCAACGCCGCGUGAGUGAUGAAGGUCUUCGGAUCGUAAAACUCUGUUAUUAGGGAAGAACAUAUGUGUAAGUAACUGUGCACAUCUUGACGGUACCUAAUCAGAAAGCCACGGCUAACUACGUG